rnacentral:rRNA from 1 species
AUUGAACGCUGGCGGCAGGCCUAACACAUGCCAGUCGAACGGUAACAGGAAGAAGCUUGCUUCUUUGCUGACGAGUGGCGGACGGGUGAGUAAUGUCUGGGAAACUGCCUGAUGGAGGGGGAUAACUACUGGAAACGGUAGCUAAUACCGCAUAACGUCGCAAGACCAAAGAGGGGGAGCUUCGGGCCUCUUGCGAUCGGAUGUGCCCAGAUGGGAUUAGCUAGUAGGUGGGGUAACGGCUCACCUAGGUGACGAUCCCUAGCUGGUCUGAGAGGAUGACCAGCCACACUGGAACUGAGACACGGUCCAGACUCCUACGGGAGGCAGCAGUGGGGAAUAUUGCACAAUGGGCGCAAGCCUGAUGCAGCCAUGCCGCGUGUAUGAAGAAGGCCUUCGGGUUGUAAAGUACUUUCGGCGGGGAGGAAGGGAGUAAAGUUAAUACCUUUGCUCAUUGACGUUACCCGCAGAAGAAGCACCGGCUAACUCCGUG